GGAAUUGUAGCUCAGUGGUAGAGUGCUUUCUUAGUGUGUUUGAGGUACUGGGUUUGAUCCUCAGCACCA
rnacentral:tRNA from 1 species